GUGUUGUAUGAAAGGAGAGAAAGUUAUCACUUUCCUUGACAAAGAUGGAAGAGGCCCUCAGGCCUGACAACACACAUACGGUUUAAAAAUCUAUUUAAAAUUUUUUUUU
ensembl:snRNA